GUGACAAAACUUUUGUGAAAACGAUGAUCAAAGCAACUUUGCACGUUGUUGAUGUACAAGUACAUAAAAUGUAAUUUAUAUGUAUAGAUUUAGUCGAUAAUAAUCAAUUUGGGAUUAAGAUGAACCUUCCCGGACGAAAUACAAACAAAACAACAGUGGAAUAUUUAUAAUAAAAAAUUGUAGGUGGAGAAAAAAUUGUAUUCCACGAAAAUUUGUUGAUCAAAAUGCAACAGUUUGCAAUUUUUUUUUAAACUGAACUUGUAAAUAACUUAAUCAAUACUGUGUGCGGAAUAUUUUGGCGUUAAUUUCUGAUAAUAUAUUUUUUUUACUGAAAUCUCCAGAAGUUUUAAAGUUUGUUUGCAUCCGACCAAGUAAAUAAUUACAGAAGCUUGUGGAAUUGAACGAGUAAUAGCCUUUGUAAUAUUUUUUUCUGAUUUUGCUCUGCUGAUAAGAGGAAAUAUUGAUUUUCUUCUAAUUACUAAUGCAGUUGAUAACUAAAAAAAUGGCAAAGUUUGGUAAAUUGUCAUUGCUAAUUGCGUUAUUAUCAAUUGUAAAGCUGAGUCAAGCUUCAUUAAAUGUGAACCAAGGUAUCCCCGAGAACGAAUACCCAGAAUCCAUAAUGGAUGAAUCAACUUUUGAUGAAAACAAUACUGGAGAAGAAAUUGCUUAUACACAAAAAAUUUACAAUAACUGCCAAAAAAACGGUGUGUGUUUUGGAUUGAUUCAAUAUAAAUUAAAUGUCGGCGAAAUGAGAACCAAAUACGAAAUGUACAGCAUGUGUUAAAAGGUCAAUUGCGCCUGAAAUGAUACGACUAUUAAGCGUGUAUGAUGCUAGUUCAAUGAACAACUAUGGAGAAUUCCACAAUUAGCUUGAAAUGGCGUGACAAUAAAUUAUAACCUAAAUCGUUGCUUUCUGGUCCACGAAUCAUAUUGACCGUAAAUUUUUGAAUUUUAUCGUUCGAUCAUCAUCAUUUCGCCGUUAUUUAAAGUGAUUAAAACACAUAAUUCAGAAAUCUGUUCACGAUUGUAAA